rnacentral:lncRNA from 1 species
AGGGAAUUGCAAAUUAAACUGAAGUUGCAUCUCAGAUAGAAGAGUCGGGGAGAGCAUGCAGCAACAAAAUGUACAAUAGUGCAUUCCAAGCUGCAUGUUGACAGGACUGAAAUGCUCUACUCGAUUGGCCACAGAAAGCUGGUUUGUCUUAAACUGCUCAAAAAGAAAAAGGAAAAAAGGCUGAAUGCUUUACUCAAUUGGCCCCAGAAAGCUGGUCUGUCUAAAACUUCUCAAAAAGAAAAAAGAAAAAAAGGCUGAAUGGCUUCUCGGUCAACUACUAAGUAUCGACG